UGGAAUUCCUGGUGUAGCGGUGAAAUGCGCAGAUAUCAGGAGGAACACCGAUGGCGAAGGCAGGUCUCUGGGCUGUUACUGACGCUGAGGAGCGAAAGCAUGGGGAGCGAACAGGAUUAGAUACCCUGGUAGUCCAUGCCGUAAACNNNNNNCACUAGGUGUGGGGGACAUUCCACGUUUUCCGCGCCGUAGCUAACGCAUUAAGUGCCCCGCCUGGGGAGUACGGCCGCAAGGCUAAAACUCAAAGGAAUUGACGGGGGCCCGCACAAGCGGCGGAGCAUGCGGAUUAAUUCGAUGCAACGCGAAGAACCUUACCAAGGCUUGACAUUCACCGGACCGCCCCAGAGAUGGGGUUUCCCUUCGGGGCUGGUGGACAGGUGGUGCAUGGUUGUCGUCAGCUCGUGUCGUGAGAUGUUGGGUUAAGUCCCGCAACGAGCGCAACCCUCGUUCUAUGUUGCCAGCACGUGAUGGUGGGGACUCAUAGGAGACUGCCGGGGUCAACUCGGAGGAAGGUGGGGAUGACGUCAAAUCAUCAUGCCCCUUAUGUCUUGGGCUUCACGCAUGCUACAAUGGCCGGUACAAAGGGUUGCGAUACUGUGAGGUGGAGCUAAUCCCAAAAAGCCGGUCUCAGUUCGGAUUGAGGUCUGCAACUCGACCUCAUGAAGUCGGAGUCGCUAGUAAUCGCAGAUCAGCAACGCUGCGGUGAAUACGUUCCCGGGCCUUGUACACACCGCCCGUCAAGUCACGAAAGUUGGUAACACCCGAAGCCGGUGNNNNCUAACCCNUNUGUGGGAGGGAGC
rnacentral:rRNA from 1 species